rfam:Triticum aestivum genome assembly, contig: Triticum_aestivum_CS42_TGACv1_scaffold_177404_2DS
CAAAUACUCCCUCCGUCCGGAAAUACUUGUCAGAUAAAUGGAUAAAAAUGGAUGUACCUAGAACUAAAAUACGUCUAGAUACAUCCAUUCCUCCGACAAGUAUUUCUGGAUGAGGGAGUAUGUA